GACGAACGCUGGCGGCGUGCUUAACACAUGCAAGUCGAGCGGUGAAAGCGGAGCUUGCUCCGCUGGAUCAGUGGCGAACGGGUGAGUAACACGUGGGCAACCCGCCCCUGACUUCGGGAUAACUCCUCGAAAGAGGUGCUAAUACCGGAUACGACCCUCGGCGGCAUCGCCAGGGGGUGGAAAGAAUUUCGGUCAAGGAUGGACUCGCGGCCUAUCAGCUAGUUGGUGAGGUAACGGCUCACCAAGGCGACGACGGGUAGCCGGCCUGAGAGGGUGACCGGCCACACUGGGACUGAGACACGGCCCAGACUCCUACAGGAGGCAGCAGUGGGGAAUACUGCACAAUGGGCGCAAGCCUGAUGCAGCAACGCCGCGUGAGGGAUGACGGCCUUCGGGUUGUAAACCUCUUUUAGUAGGGAAGAAGCGAAAGUGACGGUACCUGCAGAAAAAGCACCGGCUAACUACGUGCCAGCCGCCGCGGUAA
rnacentral:rRNA from 1 species